GAUGAACGCUGGCGGCGUGCUUAACACAUGCAAGUCGAACGGAAAGGCUCCUGCUUGCUGGGGUACUCGAGUGGCGAACGGGUGAGUAACACGUGGGUGAUCUGCCCUGCACUUCGGGAUAAGCCUGGGAAACUGGGUCUAAUACCGGAUAGGACGAUGGUUUGGAUGCCAUUGUGGAAAGUUUUUUCGGUGUGGGAUGAGCUCGCGGCCUAUCAGCUUGUUGGUGGGGUAAUGGCCUACCAAGGCGUCGACGGGUAGCCGGCCUGAGAGGGUGUACGGCCACAUUGGGACUGAGAUACGGCCCAGACUCCUACGGGAGGCAGCAGUGGGGAAUAUUGCACAAUGGGCGCAAGCCCGAUGCAGCGACGCCGCGUGGGGGAUGACGGCCUUCGGGUUGUAAACUCCUUUCGCUAGGGACGAAGCGCAAGUGACGGUACCUGGAGAAGAAGCACCGGCUAACUACGUG
rnacentral:rRNA from 1 species